rnacentral:lncRNA from 1 species
UCUUAUUUAAAGUUAAUUCUUGAAGAGGUGAUGUGUAGUCCCUAAUUCACUUCUGCAAGCAGGGCGUCUUACAGUGUUUGGAAGCACUGUCUGUCCGUGAGCACAUCUACAGGGUAUGCAGAGGCAGUAAUGGUAGGACAUCAGUCCACUGCAGUCCACGUCAGCUCUGUGGGAGUUCAGGUUUUUCUGUCAUUCUCCACCGCCGCUGCUCCCGUCAGCGCCGCGCGGACGCAUCCC